UGCUAUAGCUCAAUUGGAUAGAGCGACAGCCUCCUAAGCUGUAGGUUAUGAGUUCAAUUCCCAUUAGCA
rnacentral:tRNA from 1 species